GAACUUGUCCUCGAGUAGCUUAACAGGGGAGAUAGCUGCUUCUAUAUCCAAUCUCACAAUGAUACAGUCUUUGGAUCUAUCAAACAACAACUUAACGGGACCAAUUCCAGAAUUUUUGUCUAAAUUCCAGAAUUUGACUGUCCUAAACUUGGAGAAAAACAAGUUCACAGGCUCGGUUCCGGUAGGAUUGAUUGAAA